GCGGCCGCCGCCUGGUGCUGCUGCUGGAGCUGCGGGCUGACGGGCGACCUCCGGCUCUGCGGCUGCUGCGGCGCCGCUGGCGGCGGGGGCUGUUGUUGAGAGAUGAUGCCUUGCUUUGUUGCUGGGCUGGUCUCGAAUUCCUGGCUUCAAGUGAUCCUCCUGCCUUGGCCUCCCAAAGUGCUGGAAUUACAGAUUGUAAAUCUUUUGGAGGCAGAGACAGAGGAGUCUUAUGAAUCAUGCACCCUGGUUUGUGGUAGACAAUUAUUGCAAGGAAAAUGAGUUUCAGAAAUUUGUUCAGGUCACACAUGGUCUGGAGGCUAGAAGGUUGAAAUCAAGGUAUUAGCAGAGCCAUGUUUCCUCUGAAGGCUGUAGGGCCUCAAAUGGAAGUCAAAAAGAAGACAGCUUUAUUUUAUUUCUUCACUUAAUUUGAAUGCUUCUAAGGAUACAUUAUAUUAAAUAUAUUUGCAGUUAUUUUUAAAUAAAUUAUAUUUACUACUUGUUUGAUAA